rnacentral:rRNA from 1 species
AAGGGAGAGUAACGGGUGGUUACUUACCCUCAGGACCGGAAUAGUGUCGGGAAACUGACAGUAAUGCCGGAUAAUAUCUUUGGGUCAAAGGUGUGAUUCCGCCUGGGGAUAGGACCGCUUUCUAUUAGCUUGUUGGCGGGGUAAUGGCCCACCAAGGCUGAGAUGGAUACCGGGUGUGAGAGCAUGGCCCGGCUCACUGGGACUGAGACACUGCCCAGACACCUACGGGUGGCUGCAGUCGAGAAUCUUCGGCAAUGGGCGAAAGCCUGACCGAGCGACGCCGCGUGCGGGAUGAAGGCCUUCGGGUUGUAAACCGCUGUCAGUUGGGAGGAAGGUGCUGUGAAGAGCAGCAUUUGACCGAUCUUCAGAGGAAGGACGGGCUAAGUUCGUGCCAGCAGCCGCGGUAAGACGAACCGUCCGAACGUUAUUCGGUAUCACUGGGCUUAAAGAGUUCGUAGGCGGCCUAGCAGGUGAGGUGUGAAAUCCAACGGCUCAACCGUUGAAUUGCGCUUCAAACCACUAGGCUCGAGGAUGGCAGGGGUGUUGGGAACAGAUGGUGGAGCGGUGAAAUGCGUUGA